CCCUUGGAGGGAGCAGGGCUGCUCAAGGAACUACAUUUUUUUUUUACCUCCAUUUGGAAUAUCAAUAAAAGACUGGGGCAAUAAGAGAAAGGCAAGAGUUCGAGUAGUGAGCAUGUAGAAAGCGAGUGAGGAGUAUGUGAGGUGAAAACUCCCAUCCUGUGUUGAGAUUGGACCCUGACAUAUGUGGAGGUCGGAGGACAACUUGCAGGAAUAGGAUCUCUCCACCAUGUGGAUUCAUGGAUUCAAAUGAGCGUUAACAUCCAGCUCCUCAGAGCACUCAAAGGAGAAGUCUAGCCCUGUGCAGCUGCAAGGGAGAAGCUCAGUGAAGCCAGCAGACACACAGCACUGACACAGCUUGGCCAGUGUUCUGUAGUGGCCUCAGCUCCUCAUCUGUCAUUGAGAACUACUGCACCCACCCUCGUGUGUGGGAGGAUUCCCUGAAAAUGCCUAAGAAGGGAACGCUCACUGUUACUCCUGCGGCCCAAGCAUCCAAGCUGUUCUGGGUUCCCCAAGUCAUCAAGCAGCAUGGCUGGAAGAUUGUCAAUGCAGUGGAGAAGCGUGCAAAUCAGUCACUGGAAAGCAAGGCAAGACAUCAGCAGAGAAACACCAGCUGCUCCUUCAGAGGGCCUCCAAGAACUGGUUCUCAGUGCCCACAUGGCAGCUCACAACCAUCUGUAACUGUAGUACCAAGGGACCUGACACUCUCUGCUGGCCUCUUCAGUCACCUACAUGCACAAACAUAUAUAUCACAUAAAUACACAAACACAGAAGAUUCAAAAUUUAAAAAUAUUAAAGUGAAUACUUGGAAAUUUUCAAAAUAGUUGUAGUUGGAAGUGUUUAGUGAUGAGGGGACCCGAGCUGCAUCAGUGUCAAGCCUGGGCUUUGAGGACACUGUAGUCCCUUUUGCUCCCCUACCUCAUGGGUGCCCUGAACUUAACUGGGAGGAAACGUAGCUCUAUAGAGGCAAAUGGUAUGGAUGCAGCCAGGGACCUGUGUGUGUCAGAUGCCCCU
rnacentral:lncRNA from 1 species